UACGGAGGGAGCUAGCGUUGUUCGGAAUUACUGGGCGUAAAGCGCACGUAGGCGGCUUUGUAAGUUAGAGGUGAAAGCCCGGGGCUCAACUCCGGAACUGCCUUUAAGACUGCAUCGCUUGAAUCCAGGAGAGGUGAGUGGAAUUCCGAGUGUAGAGGUGAAAUUCGUAGAUAUUCGGAAGAACACCAGUAGCGAAGGCGGCUCACUGGACUGGUAUUGACGCUGAGGUGCGAAAGCGUGGGGAGCAAACAGG
rnacentral:rRNA from 1 species